rnacentral:rRNA from 1 species
GUAGGGUCCAAGCGUUAAUCGGAAUUACUGGGCGUAAAGCGUGCGCAGGCGGUUGUGCAAGACCGAUGUGAAAUCCCCGAGCUUAACUUGGGAAUUGCAUUGGUGACUGCACGGCUAGAGUGUGUCAGAGGGGGGUAGAAUUCCACGUGUAGCAGUGAAAUGCGUAGAGAUGUGGAGGAAUACCGAUGGCGAAGGCAGCCCCCUGGGAUAACACUGACGCUCAUGCACGAAAGCGUGGGGAGCAAACAGGAUUAGAUACCUGGUAGUCCACGCCCCUAAACGAUGUCAACUAGUUGUUGGGGAUUCAUUUCCUUAGUAACGUAGCUAACGCGUGAAGUUGACCGCCUGGGAGUACGGUCGCAAGAUUA